CAGCUAGUGUUUCAGUACUUCGUUCUGCAGGAUUACUUACUCCUACAGGUCUGCAGGAUUAUUUUGGGUGCUACUGAAUUUAUAGUGCAUAUAAAUUUAUUGAUCUCAAAUGGUGUAUUGACCUCAUUCAUCAGGAUACAUCGUUUUUUUAGAAAGUUCUUUAAAUAUCCAAGUAUUGAUCUCAAAUGGUGUGUUGAAUUUGUUUCCAUUGACUCACAGAAAUUUUAGGCAUGUUUGCCAUUGGACAAAUGGUGUAUAACAAUGAUCAUCAUCUCUAAAUUGGAUAAUUGGACAACAUCAGCAGGAGGACAGCAACAACAACAUUUUCUCAUGCAUUACAGGUUUCCCAAUUGAUCAUUACACUCCAGUAAUUUCUUCUGACUGCUAUAAUUAUUGAUCUUAACAAAUUCUUCCUGAUCCAGUGUCUCCUGAUCAAUUUUACAGACUAUUGUACCUAAAAGCUUCGAUGAAUUCUCCCAAUUCUACUGUAAGGCGAAAACUGAUAAGAAUUGGGAGCAGCGAGGAGUACCUGGCGAGGACUAGGCGGGGGAGUAGCGAGGACCGGGCUGGGCAGCGUGGUUGAGAGGACCAGGUUGGUGCAGCGAGGACCAAAUUGGGGGCGGCGGCGGCGGCAGCGGCAGCCAGGCUGGGGCGGCGGCGAUCAAAUU
rnacentral:lncRNA from 1 species